AGCGAACGCUGGCGGCAGGCCUAAUACAUGCAAGUCGAACGCACCUUCGGGUGAGUGGCGGACGGGUGAGUAACGCGUGGGAACGUGCCCUUUGGUUCGGAACAACACAGGGAAACUUGUGCUAAUACCGGAUGUGCCCUUCGGGGGAAAGAUUUAUCGCCAUUGGAGCGGCCCGCGUUGGAUUAGCUAGUUGGUGGGGUAAAGGCCCACCAAGGCGACGAUCCAUAGCUGGUCUGAGAGGAUGAUCAGCCACACUGGGACUGAGACACGGCCCAGACUCCUACGGGAGGCAGCAGUAGGGAAUCUUGCGCAAUGGGCGAAAGCCUGACGCAGCCAUGCCGCGUGAAUGAUGAAGGUCUUAGGAUUGUAAAAUUCUUUCACCGGGGAAGAUAAUGACGGUACCCGGAGAAGAAGCCCCGGCUAACUUCGUGCCAGCCGCCGCCGUAA
rnacentral:rRNA from 1 species